UACGUAGGGUCCAAGCGUUGUCCGGAAUUAUUGGGCGUAAAGAGCUCGUAGGCGGUUUGUCGCGUCGGGAGUGAAAACCUCGGGCUUAACUCGGGGCUUGCUUUCGAUACGGGCAGACUAGAGGUAUGCAGGGGAGAACGGAAUUCCUGGAUGUAGCGGUGAAAUGCGCAGAGAUCGGGAGGAACAUCAGUGGCGAAGGCGGCCAUCUGGGACACACUGACGCUGAGGCACGAAAGCGUGGGGAGCAAACAGG
rnacentral:rRNA from 1 species